GUGGGGAAUUUUGGACAAUGGGCGCAAGCCUGAUCCAGCAAUGCCGCGUGCAGGAAGAAGGCCUUCGGGUUGUAAACUGCUUUUGUACGGAACGAAACGGUUCUGGUUAAUACCCGGGGCUAAUGACGGUACCGUAAGAAUAAGCACCGGCUAACUACGUGCCAGCAGCCGCGGUAAUACGUAGGGUGCAAGCGUUAAUCGGAAUUACUGGGCGUAAAGCGUGCGCAGGCGGUUUUGUAAGCCAGGCGUGAAAUCCCCGGGCUCAACCUGGGAAUGGCGCUGGGGACUGAAAGGCUGGAGUGCGGCAGAGGGGGAUGGAAUUCCGCGUGUAGCAGUGAAAUGCGUAGAUAUGCGGAGGAACACCGAUGGCGAAGGCAAUCCCCUGGGCCUGCACUGACGCUCAUGCACGAAAGCGUGGGGAGCAAACAGGAUUAGAUACCCCAGUAGUCC
rnacentral:rRNA from 1 species